GACGAACGCUGGCGGCGUGCCUAAUACAUGCAAGUCGAACGCAGUGGGGACGGGUGAGUAACACGUGGGUAACCUCCCAUCAGAGGGGAUAAAACUUGGAAACAGGUGCUCAACCGAUACUGCUGGAUGGACCCGCGGUGCAUUCGCGAGUUGGUGAGGUAACGGCUCACCAAGGCCACGAUGCAUAGCCGACCUGAGAGGUGGAGAGGCCACACUGGGAAGGAGACACGGCCCAGACUCCGACGGGAGGCAGCAGUAGUGAAUCUUCGGCAAUGGACGAAAGUCUGACCGAGCAACGCCGCGGGAGUGAAGCAGGUUUUCGGAUCGUAAAACUCUGGUGUUAGAGAAGCGGUAUCUAACCAGAAAGCCACGGCUAACUACGUGCCAGCAGCCGCGGGAAUUC
rnacentral:rRNA from 1 species